UACAGAGGGUGCGAGCGUUAAUCGGAAUUACUGGGCGUAAAGCGCGCGUAGGCGGCUUUGCAAGUCGGGUGUGAAAUCCCCAGGCUUAACCUGGGAACUGCAUUCGAGACUGCAUUGCUAGAGUAUGGGAGAGGGAAGUGGAAUUUCCGGUGUAGCGGUGAAAUGCGUAGAUAUCGGAAGGAACAUCAGUGGCGAAAGCGACUUCCUGGACCAAUACUGACGCUCAUGUGCGAAAGCGUUGGGGAGCAAACAGA
rnacentral:rRNA from 1 species